ensembl:lncRNA
AUAAGGAAUAGCAUACCAUCUGAAACACAGCUGGUUGGUAAAGGGACCAGCCAGGCAUGUUCAAGGUUGUUGCAGUGGAUGGUAAGCUACAGCAUCGCUAUCACUAUUAUUACCAUUGUGUAACUAACCACACAGUUGUUGCCCAAUAUAAGAUGGUAUUGAUAUGUGAGUUGAGGAUACCCUGUAAGGCACUCCCCUGGGCAUUUCCUCUAGGCAACUAUUCUGCCAUUAUGGAUCUUUCCUCACAGUGCAGUACAGAGCCAAGUGAACGCCACAGCACAGCUUCACCCCAGUUUCCAAAAGGUAAUUGAAGCAUGCUGGGGCUCAUUGAUCCAGCAUUGUGACGCAGGCAGUUUAUCAGUCAGUGUAAAAACCCUUCCAUCCCUACUCACAGUCACACUAAGCCAUUCAGGAUACCGCCCAUUGAUUUUCUAACCUCCAUCAACAACGACAGGACUGGGUGUGGGCAGGCAGGUUCAGCGAAGCCAACGAAUGACAGGGAUCAUGCAGAAACAAUAGUCAUUAUGUAAAUGAAAAUAUCUCAAUAUAUGAUCGCAGAUAAAGACCAAGACUGAUAAAGACCGUGCUUCUACACCUGCAUUGCUUGCUGUCUGGGGUUUUAGGCUGGGUUUCUGUACAGCACUUUGAGAUAUCAGCUAAUGUAUGAAGGGAUUUAUAAAUACAUUUGAUUUGAUUUUGAUUUGAAGACUUCAGCCUCAAUAAUGAUGUUUCACAUAACAGCAUUAAACCCUGAGUAACUUUAAAGUCACUGGGCUUGGUGAGAAGUGUUUAAAUUUAGCUUUACUGAUGACUGUGUCCAAAUCAAAGAGUGGAAUUAUCAGUCUGGACCUAAGGUCUGUUACAAAGACGUUGGGAGAACAAAGACGUUGGGAGAAAAACAGGUUGAAAAUCAAUAGCAAUAUUCUACUGAAGUUUGAAAGGUACAGGCUGGUAACUUCGGAUAUAUCAUUCCUCCAAUCCCACUGUCUGAAAACAACCCAUAAAGACAUCACUGUAACCUCAAAGGAGUGUGUGUGAGUGUGUGUGUGUGUGUGUGUGUGUGUGCGUGCGCGUGCGUGUGCGCCAGUAUGCUGACAUCUACUCUCAGCCCAGCCUGGUGAAGUACAGCCUGGUGAAGUACAGCCUGGUGAAUGAAGUACAGCCUGGUGAAUGAAGUACAGCCUGGUGAAUGAAGUACAGCCUGGUGAAUGAAGUACAGCCUGGUGAAUGAAGUACAGCCUGGUGAAUGAAGUACAGCCUGGUGAAUGAAGUACAUCCUGGUGAAUGAAGU